GUUCGGAUUGUAGUCUGNAACCCGACUACAUGAAGCUGGAAUCGCUAGUAAUCGCAGGUCAGCAUACUGCGGUGAAUACGUUCCCGGGUCUUGUACACACCGCCCGUCACACCAUGGGAGCCGGAAAUGCCCGAAGCCAGUGACCCAACCUUAGGGAGGGAGCUGUCGAAGGUGGAGCCGGUAACUGGGGUGAAGUCGUAACAAGGUAUC
rnacentral:rRNA from 1 species